GGGUGUUUUUCAAAAACCUACCAUUUUUCAGUCAGUCGCGUCCACACUCCACUCAUCCCCAGCGCGACCGCGCUCACUCGCUCACUCACACUGAUCACAGCAGGACUACUGGCGACGCGGUCACGGAAAAUAACAGCCAGACACAGACAAACGAGUCCCGCAAAGUGUAUUUUUAAGCUUAUGUUAGAGAGAUGGCUGACAGAGCAUCUUCGUCAUCUCUAACCGUCACUCCCGCCACAGAUCUGAAGCGAGUGCAAAGGCAGAGAGGGGCGGUGUGAUGUCAUUGGCAGCAAGAAGGCUGCAAUACUAAUAUGGGCCUGAAAUUAAGAACAAUAUUAGUCAUUCAAGCUAUGAUCCUGGCAGAUCUACUAUCUGAAAAAAGACUCAGCAGAUUUUUUUCAAGACACACAAGAUGGAGCGUGGAGAGACCGGACAGUUCCCACAGUGCUAGUUUUUCAGCACCCACACCCCACACACAAAUUCAUAUAGAAGUUUUCAAUAAUAAAAAGUUUAUAUGAUAGUUUAUAUUUAGCUAUGAAGUUAUAGUUCAUUGUCAUAAAUAUUAAACUAAAUAUUAAAGUCCCCCUGUAGUGAAAUCAAGUUUUUAUGCUGUUUAUUUGUCUUUGUGGUUUUUAAUAUUGCUACAUUACAAUCCAAUAACCAAUCACAUUAAAGAAUCAAUUCCUAUCAUUAGAAUGCAAAAUAUACCAAUACCAGCACAAAACUAAAAAUACAUUAUAACAAAAAAAAAACAAAAAAAAAACAUUAAGCUGUGGUUUAAUGUGAAUUUAGAUACAAUAUUUGACUACGGGGGACUUAAAUUUUUUUACAUGAUAUGCAAUUUUCACCAAUCUGUUCAAUGUGUAUUAAUGAGAUUUUUGAAAGUGAUUAUCUUUAAUAAUUCAGAUACCUGUUGAAAUGCACAUGUAAUUAUAUGCUUGCUCGUAUCUUGAAUGUUGUGUUAAUAAACAUUAUGUUGAAAGAA